rnacentral:rRNA from 1 species
UGACGUAGGGGGCAAGCGUUGUUCGGAAUUAUUGGGCGUAAAGAGCUUGUAGGCGGUUUGUCGCGUCUGCUGUGAAAUUUCGGGGCUCAACCCCGGGCCUGCAGUCGAUACGGGCGAGCUAGAGUUCGGCAGGGGAGACUGGAAUUCCUGGUGUAGCGGUGAAAUGCGCAGAUAUCAGGAGGAACACCGGUGGCGAAGGCGGGUCUCUGGGCCGAUACUGACGCUGAGGAGCGAAAGCGUGGGGAGCGAACAGG